UGCGACCCCAGGUCAGGCGGGACUACCCGCUGAGUUUAAGCAUAUCAUA
rnacentral:rRNA from 2 species